rnacentral:rRNA from 1 species
UUUUCUGUAGCAAUACAGGAAACCGGCGCACGGCGCACGGGUGCGUAACACGUGGGUAACCUGCCCUCCAAAGGGGGAUAACCCCGCGAAAGCGGGGCUAAUACCGCAUGACAUUCCGAAAACCUCGGUUUUUGGAAUCAAAGCUCGAAAGGGCGUUGGAGGAGGGGCCCGCGGCCGAUUAGCUUGUUGGCGAGGUAAUGGCUCACCAAGGCUAUGAUCGGUAGCCGGUCUGAGAGGAUGGCCGGCCACACUGGAACUGAGACACGGUCCAGACUCCUACGGGAGGCAGCAGUGGGGAAUCUUGCGCAAUGGGCGAAAGCCUGACGCAGCGACGCCGCGUGGGGGAUGAAGCUUCUCGGAGUGUAAACCCCUUUCGACCCGGACGAAACGCCCGCAAGGGCUUGACGGUACGGGUAUAAGAAGCCCCGGCUAACUACGUGCCAGCAGCCGCGGUAAGACGUAGGGGGCCAGCGUUGCUCGGAAUUACUGGGCGUAAAGGGUUCGUAGGCGGUGCGGCAAGUCGGAAGUGAAAUCUCUGGGCUUAACUCAGGGGCUGCUCCCGAAACUGCCGUGCUUGAGUGCGGGAGAGGCGAGUGGAAUUGCAGGUGUAGCGGUGAAAUGCGUAGAUAUCUGCAGGAACACCCGUGGCGAAGGCGGCUCGCUGGACCGCAACUGACGCUGAGGAACGAAAGCUAGGGGAGCAAACAGGAUUAGAUACCCUGGUAGUCCUAGCCCUAAACGAUCAGGACUUGGGGUGCAUCCCGUUGGGGAUGCGUCCCGUAGCUAACGCGUUAAGUCCUGC